rnacentral:siRNA from 1 species
UCCAGGUGCUGUAAUCAUGUUGU